rnacentral:lncRNA from 1 species
GCCAACUCCGCCAACAAGCGCGACAAAAAUAACUAACAAAAUCUUUUGUUACUUCGAAACCGUCGAUAAAAGUAUCUACAACAAAUCGACACUUGGCCCCAAAAGAUCGGCCUCGCAGAAAACAUAAAAAUGACAACAAAAAAGGGACCCACGACCUUUUUUUUAUUAAAUAAGAAAUAAUAGAGCAACAAAAGACAGAGGGAAAAACAAAGAAAAUCCCUAAAGCUACUCUUCGAUGCUAAAUUCACCAUCCUCAAAGCGAUCACCCGAACACCUCACCGCGUCAUCCGCCGCAGAAGGAACCUUAUCGAAGAAAUCCUCUGGCAGAUCCUCCAAAAUCUAAGGCAGAUUGAGUUUCCCAACGGAGAAAUCCGAAGUCGCCAUCACGUCGACCUCAAAC